rnacentral:tRNA from 1 species
GCCGCGGUGGCGGAACUGGUAGACGCGCCGGUCUCAAAAACCUGUGGUGGUAACCCCACCAUGUGGGUUCGAUUCCCACCCGCGGCACAA